ACCCAGAGGAGCAAGGUGACAUUGUGGUGGCCUUAUACCCUUAUGAUGGCAUCCACCCAGAUGACUUGUCCUUCAAGAAAGGAGAAAAGAUGAAAGUUCUGGAAGAGCAUGGGGAAUGGUGGAAAGCCAAGUCCCUUUCAUCAAAGAGAGAAGGCUUCAUCCCCAGCAACUACGUGGCCAAGGUCAGCACCUUAGAAACUGAAGAGUGGUUCUUCAAGGACAUAACAAGGAAAGAUGCAGAGCGACAGCUUCUGGCACGAGAGAACAGUGCAGGAGCUUUCCUUAUCAGAGAAAGCGAAACUUUAAAGGGAAGCUUCUCUCUUUCUGUCAGAGAUUAUGACCCUAUGCAUGGUGAUGUCAUUAAGCACUACAAAAUUAGAAGUCUGGACAAUGGUGGCUAUUACAUCUCUCCUCGCAUCACUUUUCCCUGCAUCAGUGACAUGAUUAAGCAUUACCAAAAGCAGUCUGAUGGUCUAUGCAGAAGACUGGAGAAGCCAUGCAUCAGUCCCAAACCUCAGAAGCCAUGGGAUAAAGAUGCCUGGGAGUUCCCCCGGGAGUCCAUUAAGUUGGUGAAAAAGCUUGGCACAGGGCAGUUUGGGGAAGUCUGGAUGGGUUACUAUAACAACAGCACAAAGGUGGCUGUGAAGACCCUCAAGCCCGGCACCAUGUCUGUGCAGGCAUUCCUGGAAGAGGCCAACCUCAUGAAGACCUUGCAACAUGACAAGCUAGUGCGGCUGUACGCUGUGGUCACCAAGGAGGAGCCCAUCUACAUCAUCACCGAGUUCAUGGCUAAGGGUAGUUUGCUGGAUUUCCUCAAGAGUGAUGAAGGUGGCAAGGUGCUGCUGCCCAAGCUCAUUGACUUCUCGGCCCAGGUGAGGUAUUAGAAAGCCCAGUGGAUGUGUGCUCUACAGUUAGAAUGUCUCUUCCUGGGAGAAGGAACUCCCCUUGAACGUUCCAGAGUAGUGU